rnacentral:rRNA from 1 species
GGCGAUCAGAUACCGCCCUAGUUCUGACCGUAAACGAUGCCAACUCGCGAUCCGCCGGCGGAGCAUUUCGCCCUGGUGGGGAGCGUCCCGGAAACGAAAGUCUUCCGGUUCCGGGGGAAGUAUGGUUGCAAAGCUGAAACUUAAAGGAAUUGACGGAAGGGCACCACCAGGAGUGGAGCCUGCGGCUUAAUUUGACUCAACGCGAGGAACCUCACCCGGCCCGGACACCGUAAGGAUUGACCGAUCGACAGCUCAUUCAUGAUUCGGUGGUUGGUGGUGCAUGGCCGUUCUUAGUUCGUGGAUUUGAUCUGUCUGCUUUAUUGCGAUAACCGAGCGAGACCCACGCCUGCUAACUAGUCAGUGCAUUGCCAUUGUGCGCGCCGACUUCUUAGAGGGAUUCGCGGUGUUCAGCCGUUUGAAAGUGGGCAAUAACAGGUCUGUGAUGCCCUUAGAUGUCCGGGGCUGCACGCGGGCUACACUGGCAAAACCAGCGUGCUUGUCCUGCCUCGAAGGAGGUGGGUAAACCCGGCAAAAUUUGCCGUGAUUGGGAUCGGAGAUUGCAAUUAUUUUCCGUGAACGAGGAAUUCCAAGUAAGUGCGAGUCAUCAGCUCGCGUUGAUUACGUCCCUGCCCAUUGUA